CCCCAGCAUCACUUGAAGGUUAUCCCCAACAGCUGAACAACAACAAGACGUCGCCAUUCUUAUUUUAUGCUUGACAGUUUUAAGUAGUGAAAGUCAUAAAAAUCAGCGUGUGUAAAUAGAAUGUGCAGCUCAGUAACCACUCCAGGCUGUAUGUGGUCAACGGGGGUGCAUCAGUAGCUGAGAAAACACAGUCAGCAUAUUGAAGGUUCCAGACUAACUCAACCUAGACCAGGUCGGAAGUUACAUCAGCCAGGGGGUCCAACAGAUUUCUUUUGUCUUCCCUUUCCACCCGAUGACGGUGAAGACUAGUGAAAGGCCAAGAAGAAGCUAAACAGGGGAUAAUGAAACUGGCAGAAGCACUAAGACACCUAAUUUGUGGAAGGAAAGAAAAAUAGUCGCUAGAUUAAAUUAAUUCUUUUAUAUUUCUUUCAAUUUAUGGCAUCUGUCUUGACCAGCCCUACUGUCACUGCAUUACACACCCAAGUUUUAUUGUAGACCUGCUGAGAAAAGAAGCUCUGACAUCACCAACAUAAUGUAUUAUUGAGUACGUGUACGUGUACAAAAUUGUCAUAUAUCAUUUGAUUUCUGCAAUUCAUUCAAUAUGCACCGGACACAAAUCUUAGCAAAUUUAAUAACUCUUUCACCGACCAAAACACACCCAGGUGCUGGCAGGUUCCAAAUAUAACCAUAAAGUAUCUGAUUGUAGUACACUAUGUCUCAUACAAGAAACAUUCUAAAAUUGCUAAAAAACUACGUUUUUUAAACAAAUUUCUCUGACGUGAAAAUAAAUACGUAAGGAUACGAGAGAUCCGUAUUUUUAAUGUAAAUGUAUAGCCUUCUUAUCACUAUAAACGACCAAUAUACUACUGGUAUUUCAUCAUAAAAGAACAACAUAAACCUAAAUGAUGUACUUUACUAUUAUACAGUGCAUUUAUUGAUUUACUAGUUGUUGAAAUCUAUGGACUUAAUAAAUAACAUUAUGUCCAGUGU